rnacentral:rRNA from 1 species
GAUGAACGCUGGCGGCGUGCCUAAUACAUGCAAGUCGAGCGAACAGACGAGGAGCUUGCUCCUCUGACGUUAGCGGCGGACGGGUGAGUAACACGUGGAUAACCUACCUAUAAGACUGGGAUAACUUCGGGAAACCGGAGCUAAUACCGGAUAAUAUAUUGAACCGCAUGGUUCAAUAGUGAAAGACGGCUUUGCUGUAACUUAUAGAUGGAUCCGCGCCGCAUUAGCUAGUUGGUAAGGUAACGGCUUACCAAGGCAACGAUGCGUAGCCGACCUGAGAGGGUGAUCGGCCACACGGGAACUGAGACACGGUCCAGACUCCUACGGGAGGCAGCAGUAGGGAAUCUUCCGCAAUGGGCGAAAGCCUGACGGAGCAACGCCGCGUGAGUGAUGAAGGUCUUCGGAUCGUAAAACUCUGUUAUUAGGGAAGAACAAAUGUGUAAGUAACUAUGCACGUCUUGACGGUACCUAAUCAGAAAGCCACGGCUAACUACGUG